UAAUCACUUGUCUUUUAAAUGAAGACCUGUAUGAAUGGCAUAACGAGGGCUUAACUGUCUCCUCUUUCCAGUCAAUGAAAUUGAUCUCCCCGUGCAGAAGCGGGGAUAAGCACAUAAGACGAGAAGACCCUAUGGAGCUUUAGACACCAAGACAGAUCAUGUUAAACAACCCGCAUCACAACGGCCUGAACUUAAUGACCACCUGUCCUAAUGUCUUCGGUUGGGGCGACCAUGGGGUAGCACAAAACUCCCAUGCGGAAUAGGAGGACAACCCAAUAUCUUUUCCCCUCCUCCCACAAGCAAGAGCUACAGCUCUAACUAACAGAACAUCUGACCUUACAUGAUCCGGCUUCUGCCGAUCAACGGACCAAGUUACCCUAGGGAUAACAGCGCAAUCCCCUUCUAGAGCCCA
rnacentral:rRNA from 1 species